rnacentral:rRNA from 1 species
UAGGGGGGUACGAGAAGGCAGCUACACGGCGACGUGAGGCUAAUCCCUAAAUCCUCUCUCAGUUCGGAUUGGAGUCUGCAACCCGACUCCAUGAAGCUGGAUUCGCUAGUAAUCGCGCAUCAGCCACGGCGCGGUGAAUACGUUCCCGGGCCUUGUACACACCGCCCGUCACACCAUGAGAGUUGAGAAUACCCGAAGCCCAUGUCAAAGUGGUCGAAGGUAGGCUUGAUGAUUGGGGUGAAGUCGUAACAAGGUACC